UGCCCAGCAACUCUUAUCCCUACCUCCUCGCGGUACUGGCCGGGGUACGAGUAACCUUAGGGAAGAUCGGGUAACCAACCCCCGGUGGGAACUUUGGUCGUAUGCUGACAGGGAAGG
rfam:Aedes aegypti strain Liverpool supercont1.317 genomic scaffold, whole genome shotgun sequence.